GGGCCCGCACAAGCGGUGGAGCAUGUGGUUUAAUUCGAUGCAACGCGAAGAACCUUACCAAGGCUUGACAUACUACAGAUUUCUUUGAAAAAGGAAAGUGCCUUCGGGAAUGUAGAUACAGGUGGUGCAUGGCUGUCGUCAGCUCGUGUCGUGAGAUGUUGGGUUAAGUCCCGCAACGAGCGCAACCCUUAUUUUUAGUUGCCAUCAUUAAGUUGGGCACUCUGAAAGAACUGCCAGUGAUAAGCUGGAGGAAGGUGGGGAUGACGUCAAGUCAGCAUGCCCCUUACACCCUGGGCUACACACGUGCUACAUUGGGCGAGACAAUGAGAUGCAAAUCUGUGAAGACUAGCUAAUCUCAUAAACUUAGCCUAAGUUCGGAUUGUAGGCUGCAACUCGCCUGCAUGAAGUCGGAAUC
rnacentral:rRNA from 1 species